AUACAUGAGCAAAAUCUCAACUUUAUUAGAAGAGACGCAUUUAUUAGAUAAAAAGCCAGUUCAUGCUUUUACAGUAUGAAAAUUGGUGAUUUAUAAUAACUUAGCAAAUCGCAAAGUGAAAACAGGCGAUAAAUCAUUCAAGUUUCUGACCUAUCAGCUUUCGACGGUAUGGUAUUGGCUUACCGUGGCAGUGACGGUUAACGGGGGAUUAGGGUUCGAUUCCGGAGAGGGAGCCUGAGAAACGGCUACCACAUCUAAGGAAGGCAGCAGGCGCGCAAAUUACCCAAUUCUAACAGUUUGAGAGAGGUAGUAACAAGAAAUAMCAAUACAAGGCAGUUAAAAUGCUUUGUAAUUGGAAYGAUAGAAAUUUAAACCCUUUUUAAAGUAUCAAUUGGAGGGCAAGUCYGGUGCCAGCAGCCGCGGUAAUUCCAGCUCCAAUAGCGUAUAUUAAAAUUGUUGCAGUUAAAAAGCUCGUAGUYGAAGUUCUGCUGAAAGUAACCGGUCUGCUUUUAAUAAAAGUGGUAUCUUGGUAUGUAUUUASCAAUGAUGUC
rnacentral:rRNA from 1 species